CAAAGUAUGUCUUCUACUGUCCCUAACCUGGAACAAAUAUUUAUAAAAAAAACCUGCUUAUAUUAAUUAAUUUUCUCUAUGAUUUUAUAAACUUGCACUGAACUCCGCCAACCCAAACAUAGUGUGGAAAAUGGAUAAUUAGAGAAAGACAAAUGCCAUACUGCAGUUAUGAUCCAGCAACAUACAAGAAUGUCAGACCUGUACCUUAUCAGGACACUGACUUUAUACCACAACACAAUGCAAAAUUUUGUGGACAGCAAGCAGAUACUGUAGUCGAGUCGGUAAGGAAUACUCACCCCCCACCCAUGAAAUACUAUUAACCUCUUGAUCAUUGAAUUUUACCUGCGUUUUGUUGUUAGCAUUUUACGCAUGCAGCUACAACUGCAUUGAACUUUUGGCAUUUGUCAAUAAUCAUCUAGAUCAACUAUGGCAUCGAGUCAAUCAUCAUCGUGUGUACUGAAUGAUCUUGAACUUGACUCGCCAAGUUGUUGGUGUGGUUUGAAAGCGCAAUUAAAGAUCUCCCGCACCCACAAAAAUCCAAAUAGGAAAUUCUAUGCUUGUCCAAAGUACCAGACGAGACAAACAAGAUGUCAAUUCUUCGUUUGGGAAGAUAUACUUCAAUCAGUACUACGUGAGACUGCCAACAAGACAAGAGAGAAUGAACUUCGGAUGAGAGAGGAUGCUGUUUUGUUGCGUGAAUUUGAAGCCCAACAAGAAAAGGAGAAACUAAUAGAGAGAGAGAGUAUGCUUAAGAAUCAAGAAGACGAACUUGGAAGAAGGAUGGCAACGAAUAGGAUUGGACGUAUUUUGUUGUGUAUGUGUUGGAUUAUAUCUCUUGUUAGAUUUUUGGGUUGGUUCUGAAUGUGUAUCCUAGUCGAGCUUGCCACUACUAAACUUAUAUGGUUAUUGUGCAUAUAUCCUUAUAUUUUCAGCCUAUAAAAUAUGUUUUGGAGCUUGGGAUAUUUUUAGGACAAUCAAGCUUUUUGUGUAUGAACUCCAUGCUUUGACAGGUAUGGAUAGAUAGAGCCAAGUAGAAAUUUUGAAAAUGCCAUUGUGAAUUUGUCUGGAAAAUGGACUGAACGAAAAUGUUCACCUCCAAAUCUGUCUUCGUUUUUGUAUUGCUUUUUUGGGUAAAUUUUGGCUUUGCUACAGAUUG